GAAGGAAUGACAUGGAGGCAGUGUUCAGUUGAUCAGCAUAGCAAGGUUCUCCCGCCAGAUUCUGUAGCCAUGUUCUCUCACUAGGUUCUCCAGCCAAGUUCUGUUG